rnacentral:rRNA from 1 species
GACGAACGCUGGCGGCGUGCUUAACACAUGCAAGUCGAGCGGUAAGGCCCUUUCGGGGGUACACGAGCGGCGAACGGGUGAGUAACACGCGGGUGACCUGCCCUCAGCUCUGGGAUAAGCCUGGGAAACCGGGUCUAAUACUGGAUAUGACUCCAUGACGCAUGUUGUGGGGUGGAAAGCCUUGUGCGGCUGAGGAUGGGCCCGCGGCCUAUCAGCUUGUUGGUGGGGUGANGGCCUACCAAGGCGACGACGGGUAGCCGGCCUGAGGAGGGCGACCGGCCACACUGGGACUGAGACAC